rnacentral:rRNA from 1 species
AGCGUGGAGACAGGUGGUGCAUGGCUGUCGUCAGCUCGUGUCGUGAGAUGUUGGGUUAAGUCCCGCAACGAGCGCAACCCUCACCCCUUGUUGCUACCAGGUUAUGCUGGGCACUCUAGGGGAACUGCCCCGGUCAACGGGGAGGAAGGCGGGGACGACGUCAAGUCAUCAUGCCCCUUACGUCCUGGGCUACACACGUGCUACAAUGGCCGGUACAGAGGGAUGCAAGACCGCGAGGUGGAGCUAAACCCAAAAAGCCGGUCUAAGUUCAGAUUGGAGUCUGCAACUCGACUCCAUGAAGGAGGAAUCGCUAGUAAUCGCGUAUCAGCACGACGCGGUGAAUGCGUUCCCGGGCCUUGUACACACCGCCCGUCACACCACGAAAGCCUGCUGUACUCGAAGUCGCUGAG